rnacentral:misc_RNA from 1 species
UCCGGUUUGUCACCGGCAGUCUCGUAUGAGUCCCCAACUAAAUGCUGGCAACAUACGACGGGGGUUGCGCUCGUUGCGGGACUUAACCCAACCCCUCACGGCACGAGCUGACGACAGCCAUGCAGCACCUGUGCUAGCUCCCCGAAGGGUCCUUCACGUUUCUGAUCCGUACCACUAGCAUGUCAAGCCCAGGUAAGGUUCUUCGCGUUGCGUCGAAUUAAACCACAUGCUCCGCUGCUUGUGCGGGUCCCCGUCAAUUCCUUUGAGUUUUAGCCUUGCGGCCGUACUCCCCAGGCGGGGCACUUAAUGCGUUAGCGUCGGCACGGGAGGAGUCGACACCUCCCACACCUAGUGCCCAUCGUUUACGGCGUGGACUAC